UACGGAGGGGGCAAGCGUUGUUCGGAAUUAUUGGGCGUAAAGCGUAUGUAGGCGGCCGAGUAAGUCAGGCGUGCAAGCCCGUGGCUCAACCACGGAAUUGCGUCUGAAACUACUUGGCUUGAGUACAGGAGAGGAAAGCGGAAUUCCCAGUGUAGCGGUGAAAUGCAUUGAUAUUGGGAAGAACAUCUGUGGCGAAGGCGGCUUUCUGGUCUGUUACUGACGCUGAGAUACGAAAGCCAGGGGAGCGAACGGG
rnacentral:rRNA from 1 species